rnacentral:misc_RNA from 1 species
GAAAAGAAACACCGAAAGGACGUAGACCGCCAAACUGAGUGUAGCCUUGCUUUGUAUCACAAAGGGAUUGAACUAGUUGCUCGAUGGGCAUUGGCUCUUGGUAAGCGUAAGUGUAUCUCUGUGCUUGAACUCUUGCAGUGUUGAUUAAUAUGUUUGCAUCAGACAUUAUUCCAGCCACAGCACAUGCAACAUGAUCAUCAAUUUUGUACAUCUUCUCUGUGGAAGUUGACGUCUGUAGGAGUUUGGAAGUGACCUUCUU